rnacentral:misc_RNA from 1 species
UCGAGCGAGUCCGCGAUCCGUUUGUUUUGGUGUCAAUCGGCGGCAGUGUUCGUGCUUGAAUGUUACGAAACAGCGUUUUAUUUUUAAAAUUCGCGAGCAUGGGCCGCAGGGAGCGAUCAUCAAGGUAAGCGAAAAGCACCAAGUUGAUGGGAAGCAGGUGCCAAACUCAACAGGUCUUUUUGGAGCUCAUCAGAACACAUGGACGCGUGUGCAUCGGCAGCACUGCCCGGCUUUGUCACAGAUAAGAGAAUGACUAUUUGUAAUAGACGACGAUCUCAAAUUCUUUGAAACGGUGUGAGGUCGAAGAGGAGGCGCUGUCGACUUUUGUGAGCGAUGCGAGGGGUCAUGUCGCGCCGGUUCUGCGUGAAAGGCUGUUCCGACGGAGCCUCCACCGAAACUACGAUGCACAGAUGCCAAACCCAGCUGUUUCGAUCGUUUGUGGAUUUUCUUUGCGAAGUCUGAGAGGUUGUCAGGCACCAAAAAGGGAACUUCGAAUGAUUUCCCGAGUCCCCGAUCAUCCUCAGUGCCACAUGUGCCGAACACCGCAGCGUUUUCAGAGGGAAGAUAAAAAGCCAGUAGCGACAUCACUUCCGGACUCUGAUUUUCGGUACUUCAGACAGAAGGGCCAUAGUGCAUUCGCAAUUGCAUUAAAAAAAGAUGUUUUACGAAUGCCAUCAUUAAAUAUUAUUGAAAUGUCGCUUACAAAGCUUCUAAAUUUCAUAAUUGAUUAUGUCACAAAUAAAAAAAAAGCGAGGAGGUGAGAGGAGGGAGAGAAAGGCACAAAAGAUAAAAAGGUGUGUGCUCGUGCGGGGAAUUUUUUUUUUUGUGUUGCUUCGUGUGUUUAUGACUUUUUGCAUCGUUUUAGACAAUAACAAAAAAUAUGACUUUAAGGGUGUCUGUGCCCCUUUAAAUUUUGAGCUAAUAUGCGUAUAAAUGUUCUGUUCAUUAUUUUUUCUAUAUGUGGAACAUUUUUUAAAAUUUUAUU